rnacentral:rRNA from 1 species
UCGGGAAUUUUGGGCAAUGGGCGAAAGCCUGACCCAGCAACGCCGCGUGAAGGAUGAAGUAUUUCGGUAUGUAAACUUCGAAAGAAUAGGAAGAAUAAAUGACGGUACUAUUUAUAAGGUCCGGCUAACUACGUGCCAGCAGCCGCGGUAAUACGUAGGGACCAAGCGUUGUUCGGAUUUACUGGGCGUAAAGGGCGCGUAGGCGGCAAUUCAAGUCAUCUGUGAAAUCUCCGGGCUUAACUCGGAACGGUCAGAUGAUACUGCUUUGCUAGAGUGCAGAAGGGGCAAUCGGAAUUCUUGGUGUAGCGGUGAAAUGCGUAGAUAUCAAGAGGAACACCUGAGGUGAAGACGGGUUGCUGGGCUGACACUGACGCUGAGGCGCGAAAGCCAGGGGAGCAAACGGGAUUAGAUACCCUGUAGUCCCUGAGCGGGCUGGCAAGGCGCAU